GCAUGCUUACAAAAUAGUUUUAAUGCAUCGGAUCCCAUUAGACCUCUGCAUUUAAGCGCGCUCGGGCUAGAGUUGUACUAGGAUGGGUGACCUCCCGGGAAGUCUUAGUAUUUUACAUGCC
rfam:Picea glauca, whole genome shotgun sequence.